rnacentral:rRNA from 1 species
AGUGAACGCUGGCGGUAGGCCUAACACAUGCAAGUCGAACGGCAGCACAGGAGAGCUUGCUCUCUGGGUGGCGAGUGGCGGACGGGUGAGGAAUACAUCGGAAUCUACUUUUUCGUGGGGGAUAACGUAGGGAAACUUACGCUGAUACCGCAUACGACCUUAGGGUGAAAGCGGAGGACCUUCGGGCUUCGCGCAGAUAGAUGAGCCGACGUCGGAUUAGCUUGUUGGUGAGGUAACGGCUCACCAAGGCGACGAUCCGUAGCUGGUCUGAGAGGAUGAUCAGCCACACUGGAACUGAGACACGGUCCAGACUCCUACGGGAGGCAGCAGUGGGGAAUAUUGGACAAUGGGCGAAAGCCUGAUCCAGCCAUGCCGCGUGAGUGAAGAAGGCCCUCGGGUUGUAAAGCUCUUUUGUCCGGAAAGAAAAGCUUUCGGUUAAUACCCGGAAGUCAUGACGGUACCGGAAGAAUAAGCACCGGCUAACUUCGUGCCAGCAGCCGCAGUAAUAC